GAUGAACGCUGGCGGCGUGCUUAACACAUGCAAGUCGAACGGGAUCCAAGGGGUGCUUGCACUUUUUGGUGAGAGUGGCGAACGGGUGAGUAACACGUGAGUAACCUGUCCUUUUCUUUGGGAUAAGCAUUCGAAAGGGUGUUUAAUACCUUAUGUUCUGUCUGCCUCGCAUGGGGUGGGUGGGAAAGGCUUUGGCCGGAUUUGGGUGGGCUCGCGGUCUAUCAGCUUGUUGGUGGGGUGAUGGCUUACCAAGGCUUUGACGGGUAGCCGGCCUGAGAAGGUGGUCGGUCACAUUGGGACUGAGAUACGGCCCAGACUCCUGCGGGAGGCAGCAGUGGGGGAUAUUGCACAAUGGGCGAAAGCCUGAUGCAGCGACGCCGCGUGGGGGAUGAAGGCCUUCGGGUUGUAAACUUCUUUUGCUCUGAACAAGGCAUGCCAGUGGGUGUGUUGAGUGUAGGGGUUGAUUAGCGCCGGCUAACUACGUG
rnacentral:rRNA from 1 species